GAGAUAUUAGUAUAACAAUACAUAACUUUGUCAAGGUUAAGUUACAGGUGAAACUCCCGUAUAUCUCU
rnacentral:tRNA from 1 species